CGUGAGUAACCUGCCUUGGAGUGGGGAAUAACAGCUGGAAACAGCUGCUAAUACCGCAUAAAACGUCUGUGUCGCAUGGCACUGGACGUCAAAGAUUUAUCGCUCUGAGAUGGACUCGCGUCUGAUUAGCUAGUUGGUGGGGCAACGGCCCACCAAGGCGACGAUCAGUAGCCGGACUGAGAGGUUGGCCGGCCACAUUGGGACUGAGACACGGCCCAGACUCCUACGGGAGGCAGCAG
rnacentral:rRNA from 1 species